rnacentral:rRNA from 1 species
UGCCAGCAGCCGCGGUAAUACGGGGGGAGCAAGCGUUGUUCGGAUUUACUGGGCGUAAAGGGCGCGUAGGCGGCCAGCACAAGUCAGUUGUGAAAUCUCCGAGCUUAACUCGGAAAGGUCAACUGAUACUGUGCGGCUAGAGUGCGGAAGGGGCAACUGGAAUUCUUGGUGUAGCGGUGAAAUGCGUAGAUAUCAAGAGGAACACCUGCGGCGAAGGCGGGUUGCUGGGCCGACACUGACGCUGAGGCGCGAAAGCCAGGGGAGCGAACGGGAUUAGAUA